CAGCCCCACGGGAAUACGGAGGGUGCAAGCGUUAUCCGGAUUUAUUGGGUUUAAAGGGUCCGUAGGCGGACUUAUAAGUCAGUGGUGAAAGCCUGUCGCUUAACGAUAGAACUGCCAUUGAUACUGUAAGUCUUGAGUAUAUUUGAGGUAGCUGGAAUAAGUAGUGUAGCGGUGAAAUGCAUAGAUAUUACUUAGAACACCAAUUGCGAAGGCAGGUUACCAAGAUAUAACUGACGCUGAGGGACGAAAGCGUGGGUAGCGAACAGGAUUAGAUACCCCCGUAGUCCCUGUCUCUUAUACA
rnacentral:rRNA from 1 species